GGAUCUGAAUGAUGCAGUGUCGCAAUCCCAUUUUAUAAAUGAGGCAACCAAAACUCGAACAGCUUGAUGCAGAUGAGCAGGUAACCAUGGAAGUCGUGAGCUGAGGCUGCAGAGUCUAGAGCCAGAGUGUGGAAUAAACUUGGGUCUCAAAUCACCCCUGGAGCAAAGCACCCAUCUAAUCAGGAACUUCUACUUUCAACUUUACAUGCGUGAGAAAUGAACUUCUAUCAUGUUAGAGAAAUCCUUACACGGCGCCCUUGAGAGCUUUCAUACUGCAAGUCAUCCAUUUUCCUCCCCUCAAACCUGGCAUCGGAGUUUAUUGAAACAAAGCAAAAUAAAACAAAUAGACAAAGCUCUACCUCCAUCACUUCUGCAGUCUACAUUAACCCCACGUCCAGAAUAUUCACACCUCAGGUCUUUUUCUCACAAUUGAAACACUGGUUCAGAGCCUAACGGAAGGUCUUGGAGGUAAAAACACAACUUGGGGCAACUUUUCCAUUCUGUUCUGCAUGACCCCAAUGGGACUUCUCAGAAACCCCUCUCAUGAAUUAAACUUUGUUCUGUCUAGAGCAUUAGAAUAAGCUUAUGGGCACCUGCCAGGAGAUUAUAAAGUGGGCCAUUUAAAAGAUGACAGAUAUUGAGCACCCUUGACCCUGUAGAAAGAGUGUACCUACUUGCUUUCCCUAGGGCCCUUAAUGGUUUAUAAAAACAAGCACUCACUGAUUCAAAAAAUAUCCUCAUUCCACAGUCUUGCCAUGCCUUCUUUCUGAGCACAUGGCAGUCAGUCUCUAGCACAUCCAGUGUAAGAUAGAACAGAGAUCCCAGGCCACCCUGUGGGAAGGGGUAGAGAAAUGCAAUACAUUUCACAGGAAGUAGAAACCUAGAAAGACCACACAAAAAAACCCCUGCUUUAUGGCAAAGCCAAAGAAUAUUUGUGAAGAUUCCCCGUAAACCAUUAAAUCUGACACAAGUGUCAGAGUAGGAUCACUGUUAACACUUGUUUUUACUAACAAUAAGUGCGUUGUUGCUGACCCUGGCAGAGGAGAACAGAGAGUUCUCGGCAGGGCUUCCAAUACAGAAAACACCUGCCAGGGUGUCUCUGGGUUCCCUCACCCUGGCCAGUCUCUCCAGCUUGCCCACAUCCCUGCCCCAGAGUGGGAACUGUCCCUACUUGCCCGUCUGUAUUCCUGGGCGUCGUUCACUCGGUUGAGUCUCAGCACAUAGCCAUCCUUUCUGUCUUUG
rnacentral:lncRNA from 10 species